rnacentral:sRNA from 1 species
AUGAACUGCCGUAGACAGUAGGUGCCGUAAGGCGUAAGGUGUAACCGCCUACCGAGGAAAAAUCGUAGAAUCAUAUUGAUUUAAACGUUUUACUCUCAUGCUACGCGUGGGAGUUUUUCUUUUGU